rnacentral:tRNA from 1 species
UAGCUCAGUUGGUAAAGAAUCUGCCUGCAAUGCAGGAGACCCAGGUUGGAUUCCUGG